rnacentral:rRNA from 1 species
UACGUAGGGUGCGAGCGUUGUCCGGAAUUACUGGGCGUAAAGAGCUCGUAGGUGGUUUGUCGCGUUGUCCGUGAAAACUCACAACUCAAUUGUGGGCGUGCGGGCGAUACGGGCAGACUGGAGUACUGCAGGGGAGACUGGAAUUCCUGGUGUAGCGGUGGAAUGCGCAGAUAUCAGGAGGAACACCGGUGGCGAAGGCGGUUCUCUGGGCCUUACCUGACGCUGAGGAGCGAAAGCGUGGGGAGCAAACGGG